GGUUAAGCGACUAAGCGUACACGGUGGAUGCCCUGGCAGUCAGAGGCGAUGAAGGACGUGCUAAUCUGCGAAAAGCGUCGGUAAGGUGAUAUGAACCGUUAUAACCGGCGAUGUCCGAAUGGGGAAACCCAGUGCAAUUCGUUGCACUAUCGUUAACUGAAUACAUAGGUUAACGAGGCGAACCGGGGGAACUGAAACAUCUAAGUACCCCGAGGAAAAGAAAUCAACCGAGAUUCCCCCAGUAGCGGCGAGCGAACGGGGAGCAGCCCGGAGUCUGAAUCAGCUUGUGUGUUAGUGGAAGCGUCUGGAAAGUCGCAGGGUACAGGGUGAUACUCCCGUACACUAAAACACACAGGUUGUGAACUCGAAGAGUAGGGCGGGACACGUGGUAUCCUGUCUGAAUAUGGGGGGACCAUCCUCCAAGGCUAAAUACUCCUGACUGACCGAUAGUGAACCAGUACCGUGAGGGAAAGGCGAAAAGAACCCCGGCGAGGGGAGUGAAAAAGAACCUGAAACCGUGUACGUACAAGCAGUAGGAGCCCACUAGUUGGGUGACUGCGUACCUUUUGUAUAAUGGGUCAGCGACUUAUAUUCUGUAGCAAGGUUAACCGUAUAGGGGAGCCGCAGGGAAACCGAGUCUUAACUGGGCGUUAAGUUGCAGGGUAUAGACCCGAAACCCGGUGAUCUAGCCAUGGGCAGGUUGAAGGUUGGGUAACACUAACUGGAGGACCGAACCGACUAAUGUUGAAAAAUUAGCGGAUGACUUGUGGCUGGGGGUGAAAGGCCAAUCAAACCGGGAGAUAGCUGGUUCUCCCCGAAAGCUAUUUAGGUAGCGCCUCGUGAACUCAUCUUCGGGGGUAGAGCACUGUUUCGGCUAGGGGGUCAUCCCGACUUACCAACCCGAUGCAAACUACGAAUACCGAAGAAUGUUAUCACGGGAGACACACGGCGGGUGCUAACGUCCGUCGUGAAGAGGGAAACAACCCAGACCGCCAGCUAAGGUCCCAAAGUCAUGGUUAAGUGGGAAACGAUGUGGGAAGGCCCAGACAGCCAGGAUGUUGGCUUAGAAGCAGCCAUCAUUUAAAGAAAGCGUAAUAGCUCACUGGUCGAGUCGGCCUGCGCGGAAGAUGUAACGGGGCUAAACCAUGCACCGAAGCUGCGGCAGCGACACUAUGUGUUGUUGGGUAGGGGAGCGUUCUGUAAGCCGUUGAAGGUGGCCUGUGAGGGUUGCUGGAGGUAUCAGAAGUGCGAAUGCUGACAUAAGUAACGAUAAUGCGGGUGAAAAACCCGCACGCCGGAAGACCAAGGGUUCCUGUCCAACGUUAAUCGGGGCAGGGUGAGUCGACCCCUAAGGCGAGGCCGAAAGGCGUAGUCGAUGGGAAACAGGUUAAUAUUCCUGUACUUGGUGUUACUGCGAAGGGGGGACGGAGAAGGCUAUGUUGGCCGGGCGACGGUUGUCCCGGUUUAAGCAUGUAGGCGGAUGUUCCAGGUAAAUCCGGAACGUUACUAACGCUGAGGUGUGAUGACGAGGCACUACGGUGCUGAAGUGACAAAUGCCCUGCUUCCAGGAAAAGCCUCUAAGCAUCAGGUAACAUCAAAUCGUACCCCAAACCGACACAGGUGGUCAGGUAGAGAAUACCAAGGCGCUUGAGAGAACUCGGGUGAAGGAACUAGGCAAAAUGGUGCCGUAACUUCGGGAGAAGGCACGCUGAUGGUAAGUGAAGCGACUUGCUCACGGAGCUGAAAUCAGUCGAAGAUACCAGCUGGCUGCAACUGUUUAUUAAAAACACAGCACUGUGCAAACACGAAAGUGGACGUAUACGGUGUGACGCCUGCCCGGUGCCGGAAGGUUAAUUGAUGGGGUUAUCCUCGCGGAGAAGCUCUUGAUCGAAGCCCCGGUAAACGGCGGCCGUAACUAUAACGGUCCUAAGGUAGCGAAAUUCCUUGUCGGGUAAGUUCCGACCUGCACGAAUGGCGUAAUGAUGGCCAGGCUGUCUCCACCCGAGACUCAGUGAAAUUGAACUCGCUGUGAAGAUGCAGUGUACCCGCGGCAAGACGGAAAGACCCCGUGAACCUUUACUAUAGCUUGACACUGAACACUGGUCCUUGAUGUGUAGGAUAGGUGGGAGGCUUUGAAGUGUGGACGCCAGUCUGCAUGGAGCCAUCCUUGAAAUACCACCCUUUAAUGGCUGGUGUUCUAACGUGGGCCCGUGAUCCGGGUUGCGGACAGUGUCUGGUGGGUAGUUUGACUGGGGCGGUCUCCUCCUAAAGAGUAACGGAGGAGCACGAAGGUCAGCUAAUCCUGGUCGGACAUCAGGAGGUUAGUGCAAUGGCAUAAGCUGGCUUGACUGCGAGCGUGACGGCGCGAGCAGGUGCGAAAGCAGGUCAUAGUGAUCCGGUGGUUCUGAAUGGAAGGGCCAUCGCUCAACGGAUAAAAGGUACUCCGGGGAUAACAGGCUGAUACCGCCCAAGAGUUCAUAUCGACGGCGGUGUUUGGCACCUCGAUGUCGGCUCAUCACAUCCUGGGGCUGAAGUAGGUCCCAAGGGUAUGGCUGUUCGCCAUUUAAAGUGGUACGCGAGCUGGGUUUAGAACGUCGUGAGACAGUUCGGUCCCUAUCUGCCGUGGGCGCUGGAGAAUUGAGGGGGGCUGCUCCUAGUACGAGAGGACCGGAGUGGACGCAUCACUGGUGUUCGGGUUGUCAUGCCAAUGGCAUUGCCCGGUAGCUAAAUGCGGAAGAGAUAAGUGCUGAAAGCAUCUAAGCACGAAACUUGCCCCGAGAUGAGUUCUCCCUGACUCCUUGAGAGUCCUGAAGGAACGUUGAAGACGACGACGUUGAUAGGCCGGGUGUGUAAGCGCAGCGAUGCGUUGAGCUAACCGGUACUAAUGAACCGUGAGGCUUAACCUU
rnacentral:rRNA from 1 species